rnacentral:rRNA from 1 species
AAUGAGUUAGGUGGAUCAGACCCGAAACCGAGUGAUCUAGGCAUGGCCAGGUUGAAGGUGCAGUAACAUGCACUGGAGGACCGAACCCACAUCUGUUGAAAAAGAUCGGGAUGAGCUGUGCCUAGGGGUGAAAGGCCAAUCAAACUCGGAGAUAGCUGGUUCUCUGCGAAAUCUAUUUAGGUAGAGCGUCGGACGAAUACUCUCGGGGGUAGAGCACUGAAUGGGUAAUGGGGGCCUACAGCCUUACUGAUCCUAAUCAAACUCCGAAUACCGAGAAGUACUAUCCGGCAGACACACAGUGGGUGCUAACGUCCAUUGUGGAGAGGGAAACAACCCUGACCUACAGCUAAGGCCCCUAAUUCAUGGCUAAGUGGGAAAGCAGGUGAGACGACCAAAACAACCAGGAGGUUGGCUUAGAAGCAGCCAUCCUUUAAAGAUAGCGUAACAGCUCACUGGUCUAAUUUAAGUUGUCUUGCGGCGAAGAUGUACCGGGGCUCAAGCCAUGAGCCGAAGCUUAGGGUGUGCACUUUUGUGUACGCGGUAGCAGAGCGUAGUGUGACAUAGUUCCAUUCCUCAUUAGCAUCCUCGGAUGCAUUUGAGGAUCGGAGCUUUCUGUGAAGCGGGCCUGUGAGGGAUCCCGUGGAGAGAUCACUAGUGAGAAUGAUGACAUGAGUAGCGACAAAGGGGGUGAGAGACCCCCUCGCCGAAAAUCCAAGGGUUCCUGCUUAAAGCUAAUCUGAGCAGGGUAAGCCGGCCCCUAAGACGAGGCAGAAAUGCGUAGUCGAUGGGAACCAGGUUAAUAUUCCUGGGCCGUGGAGUGGUGACGGAUCUCGAAGGUAGUUCAUCCUUAUCGGAUUGAAUGGGCUGCUUAGAGGUUCCUGGAAAUAGCCCUCCUUUCAGACCGUACCCUAAACCGACACAGGUGGAUAGGUAGAGUAUACCAAGGCGCUUGAGAGAACUAUGUUGAAGGAACUCGGCAAAAUACCUCCGUAAGUUCGCGAGAAGGAGGCCCAGUUCUUACGCAAGUAAUGACUGGGGGCACAAACUAGGGGGUGGCGACUGUUUACUAAAAACACAGGGCUCUGCGAAGUCGUAAGACGACGUAUAGGGUCUGACGCCUGCCCGGUGCCUGAAGGUUAAAAGGAGGAGUGCAAGCUCCGAAUUGAAGCCCAGGUAAACGGCGGCCGUAACUAUAACGGUCCUAAGGUAGCGAAAUUCCUUGUCGGGUAAGUUCCGACCUGCACGAAUGGCGUAACGACUUCCCCGCUGUCUCCAACAUAGACUCAGCGAAAUUGAAUUGCCUGUCAAGAUGCAGGCUUCCCGCGGUUAGACGGAAAGACCCCGUGCACCUUUACUACAGCUUCACACUGGCAUCAGACACAAUUUGUGCAGGAUAGGUGGUGGGCUUUGAAACCGGAACGCCAGUUUCGGUGGAGCCUCCCUUGAGAUACCACCCUAAUUCUGUUUGAUGUCUAACCGCGGUCCGUUAUCCGGAUCCGGGACCCUGUGUGGCGGGUAGUUUGACUGGGGCGGUCGCCUCCCAAAGAGUAACGGAGGCGCGCGAAGGUUGGCUCAGAGCGGUCGGAAAUCGCUCGUUGAGUGCAAUGGCAGAAGCCAGCCUGACUGCGAGACUGACAAGUCGAGCAGAGUCGAAAGACGGCCAUAGUGAUCCGGUGGUCCCGAGUGGAAGGGCCAUCGCUCAACGGAUAAAAGGUACGCCGGGGAUAACAGGCUGAUACUGCCCAAGAGUCCAUAUCGACGGCAGUGUUUGGCACCUCGAUGUCGGCUCAUCUCAUCCUGGGGCUGGAGCAGGUCCCAAGGGUACGGCUGUUCGCCGUUUAAAGAGGUACGUGAGCUGGGUUUAGAACGUCGUGAGACAGUUCGGUCCCUAUCUGCCGUGGGUGUAGGAUACUUGAGAGGAGUUGCCCCUAGUACGAGAGGACCGGGGUGAACGUUCCACUGGUGGACCAGUUGUCGUGCCAACGGCAGUGCUGGGUAGCUAUGAACGGACAGGAUAACCGCUGAAGGCAUCUAAGCGGGAAGCCCCCCUCAAAACAAGGUAUCCCUGAGGACCGUGGAAGACUACCACGUCGAUAGGCCGGAGAUGUAAGCAUGGUAACAUGCUCAGUUGACCGGUACUAAUGGUCCGAUAGGCUUGAUU